ACGAAAUAGAGAGUAGCCCUGAAGGUCCUGUGCUUUGCACCGCGCCUCACGGUUAUACCCUAUCACCCAAUGUCUACAUUCCUUCUGUUGCUUUGGCAGACCCGUGGGUAACCGCCGCCAGGACUUCCGGCGCGUGGCUGUCAGAGGACCAUCAAACUCAAUCAAACAGUUGUCUGAGCAAAAUAUACAAUCGUUA
rnacentral:misc_RNA from 1 species